rnacentral:rRNA from 1 species
UAUUUCACAAUGGGGGAAACCCUGAUGCAGCGACGCCGCGUGUGUGAAGAAGUAUUUCGGUAUGUAAAGCUCUAUCAGCAGGGAAGGAGAAAGACGGUACCUGACGAAGAAGCCCCGGCUAACUACGUGACAGCAGCCGCGGUAAUACGUAGGGGGCAAGCGUUAUCCGGAUUUACUGGGUGUAAAGGGAGCGUAGGCGGUGAUGCAAGUCAGAAGUGAAAGCCCGCAGCUCAACUGCGGGACUGCUUUUGAAACUGUAUGACUAGAUUGCAGGAGAGGUAAGUGGAAUUCCUAGUGUAGCGGUGAAAUGCGUAGAUAUUAGGAGGAACACCAGUGGCGAAGGCGGCUUACUGGACUGUAAAUGACGCUGAGGCUCGAAAGCGUGGGGAGCAAACAGG